rnacentral:rRNA from 1 species
AGAGUUUGACCUGGCUCAGAUUGAACGCUGGCGGCAUGCCUUACACAUGCAAGUCGAACGGCAGCACGGAGCUUGCUCUGGUGGCGAGUGGCGAACGGGUGAGUAAUAUAUCGGAACGUACCCUAGAGUGGGGGAUAACGUAGCGAAAGUUACGCUAAUACCGCAUACGAUCUAAGGAUGAAAGUGGGGGAUCGCAAGACCUCAUGCUCGUGGAGCGGCCGAUAUCUGAUUAGCUAGUUGGUAGGGUAAAAGCCUACCAAGGCAUCGAUCAGUAGCUGGUCUGAGAGGACGACCAGCCACACUGGAACUGAGACACGGUCCAGACUCCUACGGGAGGCAGCAGUGGGGAAUUUUGGACAAUGGGCGAAAGCCUGAUCCAGCAAUGCCGCGUGAGUGAAGAAGGCCUUCGGGUUGUAAAGCUCUUUUGUCAGGGAAGAAACGGUGAGAGCUAAUAUCUCUUGCUAAUGACGGUACCUGAAGAAUAAGCACCGGCUAACUACGUGCCAGCAGCCGCGGUAAUACGUAGGGUGCAAGCGUUAAUCGGAAUUACUGGGCGUAAAGCGUGCGCAGGCGGUUUUGUAAGUCUGAUGUGAAAUCCCCGGGC